GGCGGUUUGAUAAGUNUGAAGUUAAAGGCUGUGGCUCAACCAUAGUUCGCUUUGGAAACUGUCAAACUUGAGUGCAGAAGGGGAGAGUGGAAUUCCAUGUGUAGCGGUGAAAUGCGUAGAUAUAUGGAGGAACACCGGUGGCGAAAGCGGCUCUCUGGUCUGUAACUGACGCUGAGGCUCGAAAGCGUGGGGAGCGAACAGGAUUAGAUACCCUGGUAGUCCACGCCGUAAACGAUGAGUGCUAGGUGUUGGGUCCUUUCCGGGAUUCAGUGCCGCAGCUAACGCAUUAAGCACUCCGCCUGGGGAGUACGACCGCAAGGUUGAAACUCAAAGGAAUUGACGGGGGCCCGCACAAGCGGUGGAGCAUGUGGUUUAUUCGAAGCAACGCGAAGAACCUUACCAGGUCUUGACAUCCCGAUGCUAUUUCUAGAGAUAGGAAGUUACUUCGGUACAUCGGUGACAGGUGGUGCAUGGUUGUCGUCAGCUCGUGUCGUGAGAUGUUGGGUUAAGUCCCGCAACGAGCGCAACCCCUAUUGUUAGUUGCCAUCAUUCAGUUGGGCACUCUAGCGAGACUGCCGGUAAUAAACCGGAGGAAGGUGGGGAUGACGUCAAAUCAUCAUGCCCCUUAUGACCUGGGCUACACACGUGCUACAAUGGUUGGUACAACGAGUUGCGAGUCGGUGACGGCGAGCUAAUCUCUUAAAGCCAAUCUCAGUUCGGAUUGUAGGCUGCAACUCGCCUACAUGAAGUCGGAAUCGCUAGUAAUCGCGGAUCAGCACGCCGCGGUGAAUACGUUCCCGGGCCUUGUACACACCGCCCGUCACACCACGAGAGUUUGUAACACCCGAAGUCGGUGAGGUAACCUU
rnacentral:rRNA from 1 species